rnacentral:rRNA from 1 species
UUACUGGGGCGUAAGCGCACGCAGGCGGUCUGUUAAGUCAGAUGUGAAAUCCCCGGGCUUAACCUGGGAACUGCAUUUGAAACUGGCAGGCUUGAGUCUCGUAGAGGGGGGUAGAAUUCCAGGUGUAGCGGUGAAAUGCGUAGAGAUCUGGAGGAAUACCGGUGGCGAAGGCGGCCCCCUGGACGAAGACUGACGCUCAGGUGCGAAAGCGUGGGGAGCAAACAGGAUUAGAUACCCUGGUAGUCCACGCCGUAAACGAUGUCGACUUGGAGGUUGUGCCCUUGAGGCGUGGCUUCCGGAGCUAACGCGUUAAGUCGACCGCCUGGGGAGUACGGCCGCAAGGUUAAAACUCAAAUGAAUUGACGGGGGCCCGCACAAGCGGUGGAGCAUGUGGUUUAAUUCGAUGCAACGCGAAGAACCUUACCUGGCCUUGACAUCCAGAGAACUUAGCAGAGAUGCUUUGGUGCCUUCGGGAACUCUGAGACAGGUGCUGCAUGGCUGUCGUCAGCUCGUGUUGUGAAAUGUUGGGUUAAGUCCCGCAACGAGCGCAACCCUUAUCCUUUGUUGCCAGCGGCUCGGCCGGGAACUCAAAGGAGACUGCCGGUG